UGUUAACUUUUACAGGAAAACAAUUCUUCCCUUUCAAUAUAGUAUCAUUAUACUUGCACACUUUACAGAGUGAUAUUUACUUCAUCAUUGGUAUUUUCGACAAUUACGAAAAUUACAUUGCGGAAGUAAAGUGUAUCGAUUCGCUUGUUAUCGACCUUUUCCUCUCGUCCGGUAGAUAAACCUUUAUUACUAUCUGUUAUUCCCACAAAAUUUUUCACAUAAUAACCCAAGAAAAGCGUGAAAAACUCUCUGAACUCUAUAAGCGAUCUUUAAUAAAAUAUGACGGAGAAUAGAAGUCAGGGCUACCACAGUAUUUUCCAGCGCAGUCGUGUUUCAGCCUUCGUGAAAAAAUGGAAUUUGCUGGCAAGCGCUACUAUAAGUUAAGUCAAAAUUUAUUAAUCGCACUCGGUCUAUGGCCGUAUAAUAACUCAAUGUUCAAAAAUAUUCAGAGAGUAUUUUUCAUUCUACUACUCGCAUUUUCCAUAUUUGUGCAGUUAGGAAAGAUCAUGACAAGCGUAUUUAAUUUGGAAUCUCUUCUUCAAAUCUUAUCAUUCGCUAUACCUUGUUUAGUGUUCUCUUUGAAAUAUGCUACAUUUUGUGUAAAAUAUAAAGCU